rnacentral:tRNA from 1 species
UGGUGGGUCAUAUAACGGUCAUUAUACCAGAAUUUGGAUCUGGUCAUCGCGGUUCGAUUCCGCGCCUGCCAU